ensembl:lncRNA
AGACCAGGCUGUUAGUGUGUAUUUUUUGCAAUAUUUUGGAGAGAAUUUUAAUAGCAUUAAGGUGUGGGUAAAGGUAUAAGCACCUGGGAGAGAACGUGUUUUUUGUAUUUCUGAAGUGUGUGCGUGUGUGUGUUUGUCUUCACUGUUUUUCAGAGGGGUAUGAUUACUCACGUAGCUCUGCGGCGAGCUUCCAUUCUCUAUGCAGACAAGAACGUGCCUGUAUCACUCUGGCGGUGCCUUCCUUUACCUCUGCCGUUGCCAGCGUGGUUCUGCCUGAGAGACAGAGGAGAAAAACAGAGUGACGUGGAGAGAAAAAAAGAUGGAGAAACAGUAAAGAGGAAGGUUUUAAUAGUUCAUUGGCUGAACCCUGAACUCUUGGUGGAUGUUGCUCUACCCAUGAUCUGAUGUAGAAUUGUCUUCUUUUACCUGCAAACUGGCCGUAGCCUAACAGGUAUGCAAUCCAUCUCUAGAUAUGUUUCAAUGCAAGUUGUGAAUUUAAAUCUUUUGAAAAAUCAGAAUACAACAAAAUUUCAUUAAAUUUAAUUAGUGACUUGUGGUUUAGAGCAUUUUGAUAGUGAUUGAAAUAAAAGUAAUGUUACUUUUUAUGCGUGUCUAUGA